rnacentral:rRNA from 1 species
UACGUAGGGGGCGAGCGUUGUCCGGAUUUAUUGGGCGUAAAGAGCGUGUAGGCGGCCAGGUAGGUCUGCUGUGAAAACUCGAGGCUCAACCUCGAGACGUCGGCGGAAACCAUCUGGCUAGAGUCCGGAAGAGGAGAGUGGAAUUCCUGGUGUAGCGGUGAAAUGCGUAGAUAUCCGGAAGAACACCGGUGGCGAAGGCGGUUAGCUGGGCAGUUGCUGACACUGAGGCGCGACAGCGUGGGGAGCAAACAGG